GGAAGUACGUCAAAGUAGGAGAGUUGAGCUUGUCUGUAAAACAAGUGCUUCAUGCUGAGUAGGUUCGAAUCCUACUACUUCCA
rnacentral:tRNA from 1 species